rnacentral:rRNA from 1 species
UUGGAGGGCAAGUCUGGUGCCAGCAGCCGCGGUAAUUCCAGCUCCAAUAGCGUAUGUUAAAGUUGUUGCAGUUAAAAAGCUCGUAGUUGAAUUUCGGGGUUCUACCGUUGGUCGGGCUAUUGUCUGUACUGGCGUGUAGAAUUUCUACCUUCUGGGGAACUAUCAUGUUAUUAAUUUAGCGUGGUAGGAAACCAGGACCUUUACCUUGAAAAAAUUAGAGUGUUCAAAGCAGGCUUAUGUCUGAAUACAUUAGCAUGGAAUAAUAAAAUAGGACGGUGGUCCUGUUUUGUUGGUUUCUGAAUCACCGUAAUGAUUAAUAGGGAUAGUUGGGGGCAUUAGUAUUCAAUUGUCAGAGGUGAAAUUCUUGGAUUUAUUGAAGACUAACUACUGCGAAAGCAUUUGCCAAGGAUGUUUUCAUUAAUCAAGAACGAAAGUUAGGGGAUCGAAGACGAUCAGAUACCGUCGUAGUCUUAACCAUAAACUAUGCCGACUAGGGAUCGGACGAUGUUAACUUUUCUUGACUCGUUCGGCGCCUUACGGGAAA